rnacentral:rRNA from 1 species
AGAGAUGGAUUUGUGCUCGAAAGAGAACCGUAACACAGGUGCUGCAUGGCUGUCGUCAGCUCGUGUCGUGAGAUGUUGGGUUAAGUCCCCGCAACGAGCGCAACCCUUGUCAUUAGUUGCUACAUUUAGUUGGGCACUCUAAUGAGACUGCCGGUGACAAACCGGAGGAAGGUGGGGAUGACGUCAAGUCCUCAUGGCCCUUAUAGGUGGGGCUACACACGUCAUACAAUGGCUGGUACAAAGGGUUGCCAACCCGCGAGGGGGAGCUAAUCCCAUAAAACCAGUCGUAGUCCGGAUCGCAGUCUGCAACUCGACUGCGUGAAGUCGGAAUCGCUAGUAAUCGUGGAUCAGAAUGUCACGGUGAAUACGUUCCCGGGUCUUGUACACACCGCCCGUCACACCAUGGGAGCGGGUUCUGCCAGAAGUAGUU